rnacentral:rRNA from 1 species
ACGGGAGGCAGCAGUGGGGAAUAUUGGGCAAUGGGGGAAACCCUGACCCAGCAACGCCGCGUGAAGGAAGAAGGCUUUCGUGUUGUAAACUUCUUUUACCAGGGACGAAGGACGUGACGGUACCUGGAGAAAAAGCCACGGCUAACUACGUGCCAGCAGCCGCGGUAAUACGUAGGUGGCAAGCGUUGUCCGGAUUUACUGGGUGUAAAGGGCGUGUAGGCGGGGCUGCAAGUCAGAAGUGAAAUCCAUGGGCUUAACCCAUGAACUGCUUUUGAAACUGUAGCUCUUGAGUAUCGGAGAGGCAGGCGGAAUUCCCAGUGUAGCGGUGAAAUGCGUAGAUAUUGGGAGGAACGCCAGUGGCGAAGGCGGCCUGCUGGACGACAACUGACGCUGAGGCGCGAAGGCGUGGGGAGCAAACAGGGUUAGAUACCCUGGUA